GGGAUGUCCGUUUAUAAAGUUUAGUUGGCGUCAACACUAAAUGCCUCAAUCGGUAGAUAAAGAAUAAAAGAGAAGUAAGAGUGGUAAAAGAUGCUGCAGAGAUGGUAACAGGAAACAAAGAAGUGGUCAGAUGGACAAACACUAAGUGUGGAUUGAUUCUGAAGACUGGAAUGUUAUACCCAUAACUGAAAUAUGGCUGAGAGAAGUGCAGAACUGGCAACUGAAUAUUCCAUGAUACAGAUGCUACAGGUGUGACAGAGAUGCAGAGAAGUUACCUGGAAAGUUGAUGAAAACAAGGCGGUGGAUGUUGUCUACAUGGACUUUAGCAAGGUCUUUGACAAGGUCCUAUAUAGGAGGCUAGUCAAGAACAUUCAGGAUGAGGUAGUAAAUUGGAUUAAACAUUGGUUUUGCAGGGGAAGCCAAAGAGUGGUAUUAGAUUAUUGUUUUUCUGACUGGAGGCCUGUGAUUAGUGGUGUGCCACAAAGAUAUGAGCUGGGUCCAUUGUUGUUUUGUCAACUAUACUAAUAAUCUUAAUAAGAAUAUUUUAAACUGGAUCAGCAAGUUUGCAGAUGAUACCAAGUUUGGAAGCAUAGUGGACAGCGAGGAAGGCUAUCAAAGCUUGCAGAGGGAACUGGACCAGCUGGAAAAAUGAGCUGAAAAAGGGCAAAUAGAGUUUAAUGCAGAUAAGUUUGAGGUCUUGCACUUUGGGAGAACAUACCAGGGUAGGACACGUUGAGCAGUAUGUCACUGAGAAGUGUGGUAGAACAGAGGGAUCUGGGAAUUCCUUGAAAGUAGCAUCACAGGUAGAUUUGGUUGUAAAGAGAGCCUUUGGCACAUUGGCUCUCAUAAAUCGAAGUAUUGAAUACAGGAGUUAGGAUGUUAUAUUGAAGAUGUAUAACACAUUGGGAUACUUAAAUGGGGGUAUUCAGUUUAGUUCUAGUCAUCUACAUAUAGGAAAGAUGGCAAUAAGAUUAAAAGAGUGCAGGAAAAUAUACAGGCAUGUUGCCAGGACUUGAGUUAUGUGGAAAGAUUGAACAGGUUAGGACUUUAUUCCCUUGAGUAUAGGAGAAUGAAGGGAGAUUUGAUAGUAUAUAAAAUUAUGGGGGGUAUAGAUAGGUUAAAUGCAAGUAGGCUUUUUUGCUUGAGGUUGGGUGAGACUAGAACUAGAAGUCAUAGUUUAAUUGUGAAAGGUGAAAAGUUUAGAAGGGUACUUCUUCACAUGGAGUAGUAAGAGUGUGGAUUGUACUGGCUGUGGAAGAGGUGGUUGUGGGUUCAACCUCAACAUUUAAGAGAAACUUUAAAAGGGUGUUGCCAAGUCUUGAGGAUGUGAGAUACAGCAAAAGGUUGAAUAGAUUAGUACUUUAUUUCCUAGAGCAUAGGAGAAUGAGGAGAGGUUUGAUAGAGGUAUAUUAAAUUGUAUGGAUAGAGUAAACGUAAGCAGGCUUUUUUUCCACUGAGGUUGGGUGAGGCUAGAGCUAGAAGUCUUGGGUUAAGGAUGAAAGGUGAAAUGUUUAAGCAGAACAUAAGGGGGAUCUUCUUUAAUCAGAUGGUAAUGAAAGUGUGGAAUGACUGCCAGAGGAAAUGGUGGAUGUGAGUUCAGUUUGAAAAUUUAAGAGAAAUCUGGAUAGGUACAUGGAUGGGAGGAGUAUGGAGGGCUAAGGUCUGGGUGCAGGUGGACGGGAUGAGGCAGAUUAGACUAGGUUGGACUAGGUUGAUGGUCUGGCAUGACUAUAACUUCUAUAACUCCAUAACAAUAGAGGAAAGGUCUUCAAGGAAAAAUUUCAACACGGAUGCCCUCACUGUACGCUGGCGUCUCACUAACUCUUGGGGAUUAGAAUGGAGAACUGCUCCCUCGGUAUCCAGGACAGUCAAGUCAGACUCCUUUUCUGGAAGGUGAUCAUUCUCUGUGAUUGUCUGUGCAUUCUUCCAGCUACACUACUUUCCAUACCUUGGGAAAAUUGUAUUGUUGAGUACCGCAUACAAAGUGCCAUGGAGAGGAAUAAACAGCCAACGUUUUGAGCCAAGACCCUUCAUCAGAGUCAGCCUGAUUUGCUGAGUUCCUGCAGCAUUAUGUGUGUUACUCUAGAUUUCUAACAUCUGCAGAAUCUCUUGUGUUUUUUUUAUUGUGGAGGAGGUUUGGAGUAGGAGAGAACCUUUCAGUCCUUCAUAGCUCUUGCUUCAGUAACUCUGAAUAAUCUUUUAAAAACAUCAAACAUUGUAGAAAUUGCAGCAACAACAUUGAAAACUUGAUAAUUGUAAACUUAACCUUUAACUGAGCUUUUACAUAGUACUGCUGAGCAAUUGCCAGACCUGAGGUCAUGGGGUGGUGGUAGAGUGAGAGGAUCAUAUAUUCCAUUAUGAUUUAUUUAGGAUAUAAGCUUGAACAUUGUCUGAAAGUGGCCAAGCCGGCAUCAAAUCAAUAUUGCACACGGAGUAACAAAUGAUCUGCCUGUCUGCACAUUUACAGUGGCAUGCAUGUGUAUAUUCUUUCUCAUAUCUCUUGCCGUGCAACUGGGUCCACAAAACAGUGUUAACCAGGACGUAUUUUGGAUCUGAAACAGAGUUGCAGCAACCAGAAACUGUGCACCACUGAUGAGAACUGAACACCUUGGAGUCCAACUUGGAUAAGCAAAGCAAACAUUACAUCUUUCUCAAUCUAAAAGCGUUAGGCCAGGAGAAGUGGAUUGGAAUAGGUUCAUGGAUUGCUUCAAUUAGUGUAGAUCCCUCUCUCCACCAGGUUACAAAAAUACAGCUCAGUGACUUGUUCAGUCAUUUCAGACAGCAUUUAAGAAUCAACCACACUGACGUAUCUGGAGUCACAAGUAGGUUAGACAAGGUAAGGGAAGCAGGUUUGCUCAUCUGAAGGUCAUCAGUUAACUAGGUGGGUUUUUAUCUGAUGGUUUUUGUCAUCAUGAAUACUCCGAAUGUUUCUGGGUGGGUAUCCAACAUAUUCAUGUCUUUAGAUUCCCUAGCUAAGAUAUUUUGGAAACUUCAGAGAAACUUGCAGAAAUAUGGUCAAGACAUCCAGGUAAUGCAUUGUAUAAAUAUUGCCAGGUGACAGUUGGAUCAGAUGAUUUUGCCAAGAGUUAUCACACUACCCUUUUGAAUUCUGUGAUAAGGAUCUAAAUAUAACCUAGAGUGCAAUGCUUAUCAUAAGCAGUUAAGUAUAAUUAUCUAGGACAUUUUCCCUUAAUUUCUAGUGUGCAUGAACUCACAGACUAAGGGUCAAAUGAAAAUAGAAAAUACUGGAAAUACUCAGCUGAUCAGGCAGCAUGUGUGAAGAGAGAAAUUGGAAGCACAACAGCUGGUCUUAGUAAUCAUGACUACAAAACCUACCAGAUAGAAACCCAUCUCAUUAACUGAUGACCCUCCAGAUGAACAAAUCUGCCUUCCUUACCUGUUCUGGCCUACUUGUGACUCCAGAUUCACCCAUGUGGCCGAUUCUUAAAUGCUCUCUGAAAUGGUCUAACAAGUCACUUGUUACUGCUAUGAUCAGACCUGGAAAAUAAAAUCCAGAUGAAUCACCAAAUUCAGUCACAGCAACUUGCUUGCAAUCCAGUCAACCUUGUUAACUCCUUCUCACAGACAUAUGAAAAUAAAGGCUCAAAAGUCCAUUUAUUAUCAACGAAUGUAUGCAGUAUGCAUCUCUGAGAUUCAUCUUGUCCAGAUAACCACAAAACAAAACCAUGGAAGUUCAAAGAAAAAUAUCACCCCCCCCCCCCCCCCCGCACAAAUAAACUUGCAGAUCAAGCCAAAUUAAAUCACUCAGAAAGAACUGGUGAAAACUCAGAAUAUAAUAGACAUAAAACCAAAAAGAGUUCAGUCCAAUCCAUAAAUCGCAGAACUAUGGUAACAUCCAUCCUCCAAUGGCCACCAUGGAACGAUUUAAAUGUGGAGGCAGAGCAGAAAGGGGGAUAAGUCAUCACACAUCCACCUUAUUUGGCAAUUAUAAUGUAAAUUGGGAGAUCAGUCACACAGACAAAUCAAGAAAGAGUGUGACCUAUUCAUACUCACAAAAUCAUACCUCACAGACAAUGUGCCAGAUUUUUUUCAUCACAGUUAUUGGAAUAUCUUGUCUUUUCAACACAACUGACAAUGUGGAAAAUUAGCCAAGUGUGUCCUGUUCACAAAAAGCAGCUCAAAUCCAAUUUGGCUAAUUGCUGCUCAGUCAGCAUUUUCGUAAUCAUUAACGAAGUGAUGGAAACUAUCAUUAACUAAACUACCAAGGGGCACUUCCUCAUCAGUUUGUGUUUUACUAAGAUUCUUAUUACUCUGCUCCAAAUUUCCUUCCAGUCUUUGUCUAAACAUAGAUCAAGGAACUGAAUUCCAGAGGCAAGAUGAAAGUGAUGGGCAUCAAUACGUCCCAGUUACACUGAUGUCAAUGGGUAUCAAAAGCAAAACAGCCCAGUGGUUGAAGUUAUACAUUGCACAGAGUUGCAACAAUAACAAUAACAACAAUGUUUGCUGUUAUUGGAGUUCAAUCAACCGAGCAAUCUGUGAUGCAUGAGGCAAGACCUGGACCACAUUAAGACAGGUAACAUUGAUGUAAUGAAUGUGUCAUGCAAUGAACAUUUCAAUAAGAAGGAUCUAACUAUUUACCCUUAGCAUUCAAUGCUUUACCAUUGCAGAGUUUCCCAGUGUCAACGUCAUGGGAUUCUCACUGACCAGAUACUCUUCUGAAUACUAUGGAGGUAAGAACAGAUGAGAGGCAGGGGGAGGUACCCACCCCCUGACACGCCAUCUGAAAAGUAAAAGUCAGGAGUACAAUGGAAUACUCUGUGCUUGGCUGAUGUGUGCAGCUCCAAAAACUCUAAAUAAGCUCUGCACCAUCUAAAACAAGUAACUUGCUUGGUUUGCAAUAUUUUCACUGUUGUCCAUUUAUAAAGUGCAUUCUAUUACUUUCCCAGGCAUCUCCAAAGCCUCCCAUUUUUGCCGCCUGCAUCACAUAGAAAGCUAAAUCAACAGGAAUUUUGGAAUACCAUCAGCUGCAGGCCCUCUUAGUCACAAACAACCUGAUCUAAAAAUAUAUUGCUGAUACUCCGUCAUCUCUACAUCUAAAUUUUGGAGCUCCCACCCUGCAGCACUGUGGGAAUAUCUUCGCCAGAAAACUGGGCAGCAGUUCAAGAAUGCAGCUAAGUCAGGUCAAGUCAAGUUUAUUGUCAUUUACCUAUAGUGUCUACAUGUAUAUAACAUUUAUAACCAUAUAAUGUAUAUAGAAACAAGACAAUGUUUCUCCUAACCAGGGUGUAAAGCACAGUAGUACACAUAACACACAGUAACUUAUAAAGUAAAAUCAGAAUCAGGUUUAUUGUCACUGGCAUGUGAUGUGAAAUUUGUUAACUUAGCAGCAGCGGUUCAAUGUGAUACAUAAUAUAGAAGAGAAAAAAGUAAACUGAAAGUAAUAAUAAAAAAUAAAUACGUAAAUCAAUUACAGUAUACGUAUAUUGAAUAGAUUUAAAAACAUGCAAAAAACAGAAAUAUUACAAAAAAAACAGAUAUUAAAAGAAGUGAGGUAAUGUCCAAGGGUUCAAUGUCCAUUUAGGAAUCGGAUGGCAGAGGGGAAGAAGCUGUUCCUGAAUCGCUGAGUGUGUGCCUUCAGGCUUCUGUACCUCCUACCUCAUAAUAACAGUGAGAAAAGGGCUGCCUUUCUGAGACACCGCUCCCUGAAUAUGUCCUGGGUACUUUGCAAGCUAGUACCCAAGAUGGAGCUGGCUAGAUUUACGACCCUCUGCAGCUUCUUUUGGUUCAGUGCUAUAACCCUCCCCCCCCCCCCCCCCCCCCACCGUACCAGACAGUGAUGCAGCCUGUCAGAAUGCUCUCCAUGGUACAUCUAUAGAAGUUUUCUUACUUUCUAAAUCUUUUUAAAUCUUUUUAUUAAUUUUCAAAAACAUAGGCAUAAUAACAAUAGUAAUACAGAGAUUGGGAAUACAUUGUUGGUAAACAGUAUAUAUGGGUAUAAGCUGUAGAUAACACAUGUACUAAGUCUCACAAACUCUUGAUGUAACUAAGCAUGAUAGAAAAAAUACAUAUAAAAAAAAACCCAGAUCAGAAAUAAAAAAAAAUUAAACUAAACUAAACUAAACUAAACAAAGCUGGGCUAUUAUGUUACAUCGGAUACAAUCAAUAAUGUCGUUGACUCCACUCCUCUAUCCGAAUAUUUAAAGAUGAUAAAAAGGAUUCUGAAAAGGUCAAGUUACAUCAUAUGAAAGUGUUGAAUAAAUGGUCUCCAAGUUUCUUCGAAUUUAACUGAAGGGUCAAAAGUGACACUUCUGAUUUUUUCUAAAUUUAAACAAGAUAUAGUUUGGAAAAACCAUUGUAAUCUAUAGAUAUUUUGUGCGUAUUUGUUGACAUGCCAAAUCUCUUCAAACUGCUAAUAAAGUAGAGCCGCUGUCUUGCCUUCUUUAUAACUACAUCGAUAUGUUGGGACCAGGUUAGAUCCUCAGAGAUCUUGACACCCAGGAACUUGAAACUGCUCACUCUCUCCAUUUCUGAUUCCUCUAUGAGGAUCGGAAUGUAUUCCUUCAUCUUACCCUUCCUGAAGUCCACAAUCAGCUCUUUCGUCUUACUGACGAUGAGUGCCAGUUUGUUGCUGUGGCACCACUCCACUAGUUGGCAUAUCUCACUCCUGUAUGCCUCUCGACACCAUCUGAGAUUUUACCAACAAUGGCUGUAUCAUCAGCAAAUUUAUCGAUGGUACUUGAGCUAUGCAUAACCACACAGUCAUGUGUAUAUAGAGAGUAGAGCUGUAGGCUAAGCACACACCCCUGAGAUGCGCCAGUGCUGAUUGUCAGCGAGGAGGAUAUGUUAUCACCAAUCCACACAGAUUGUGGAUUUCCAUUUAGGAAGUCAAGGAUCCAAUUGCAGAGGGAGGUACAAAGGCCCAGGUUCUGUAACUUCUCAAUCAGGAUAGUGGGAAUGAUGGUAUUAAAUGCUGAGCUAUAGUCAAUGAACAGCAUCCUGACAUCGGAGUUUGUGUUAUCCAGGUGGAGCCAUAUGGAAAGCCAUUGAGAUUGUGUCUGCUGUUGAUUUGUUGUGGCAAUAGGCAAAUUGCAAUGGGUCCAGGUCCUUGCUGAGGCAGGAGUUCAGUCUAGUCAUGACCAACCUCUCAAAGCAUUUCAUCACUGUAGCACUGUAGAGUGCUACCGGGCGAUAGUCAUUAAGGCAGCUCACAUUAUUCUUAGGCAUUGGUAUAAUUGUUGCCUUUUUGAAGCAUGUGGGAACUUUUGCCUGUGGCAGUGAGAGGUUGAAAAUGUCCUUGAAUACUCCUGCUAGUUGGUUGGCACAGGUUUUCAGAGCCUUACCAAGUACUCCAUUGGGACCUUGCAAGGGUUCACUCUCUUUAAAGACAGCCUAACAUCGGCCUCUGAGACGGAGAUCACAGGGUCAUUAGAUGCAGCAGGGAUCUCAACAGCUGUAGUUGUGUUCUCCCUUUCAAAGCAUGCAUAGAAGGCAUUGAGUUCAUCUGGUACAGAAGCAUCGCUGCCAUUCAUGCUAUUGGGUUUCGCUUUGUAGGAAGUAAUGUCUUACAAACUCUGCCAGAGUUGCUGUGCAUCUGAUGUCCACAGAUGAAUCACCAAUAAAUAGCAAACUAAAGCGUAUAGCUUAAAUAUUGUAAGGUACGGAACAGAUUAACCAAUGAUUCUUGAAAAGCAAUGCAGCAGGGAGUUCGUAAGCCUAACAGCCUCAGAGAAGAAAGUGUUUCUAAUCCUGACCAUUGUCAUUUUUAUGCAUCAAACUCUCCAGUCUGAUGGUAGAAAGUCAAAAAGGAUGCUGGAUGGAUGGGUGGGGUCCUUAAAAAUACUAAGGACCCUACGUACACAGCACUCCUGAUAAAUAUUCCCGAUGGACGAUGGGGAGACCCCUAUGAUCCUCUCAGCUUUUCUCACAAUCCUUUGCAGGGACUUCCGGCCCGAUGCUGACCACCAUCUUCUCAAAGGAAUGAAGAAUAGCUCAUAGCAAUACCUGAUCAUGGAUAAUGAAUAAAUUUAAAAAAACAGAAUCAACAUUUCAGGUUGAUCAUUUAUGAAGGAGAAUAUCCUUCAAGUGCCAAUUACUGUUAUGGGAAUAAUUGAUCUUGGAGCAGCAGAAAGAUGAUCAGUUGAUAUAGGUUAUUGAAGCUACUCACUAAUGAUGAAGUAACAGAGACAGGAGAAGAUCCUGCAUUAGUUUGGUAACUUCUGCUUUGACUGCAACAAUUCAUUCAUUUUCAUAUAGUUAACCUCCUGUAAAUUCAGUGGUUGCAGGUGCCUCAAGAAAUAACUCAGCAAAGACACUUAGAGCACCUAGAAAAAACAAAAGAAGGUUGAUUUUCAAGCUCAAGUUCAAGUUUAUUGUCAUUCAACCAUUCACGUAUAUAUCACCAAACAGAACAACGUUCCUCCAGACCAAAGUGCACCACAUGACGCAUGAAGUAAUAUUAAUGCAAAUAAGUUAACAAAUAAUGUGCAUCUACAACACUAGUUAAAAUGUAAACAAUAUAACACUACUGGUGCUUCAUAUCUGAUGAGACCUCGGUGGUGGCAGGGAGUUCAGUAAUUUUGCAGUCUGGGGGAAGAAGCUGUUUCAUAUCCUAACAGUCUUGUCCAAAUGCUAUGAUACCUCCUACCUGAUGGUAGGGCGCAAAGAGACUGCAUACCAACAAAUACAUCUCUCUUCACGUAUUUCUUUCAGAGCAUCUCAAAAUGCUUGUCAGCCAAUGGAGAGCCUUUGUAAAUGAGUCAUUGUUGUAAUAUACUGUAGGAAAAAUUGUAGCCAGUUUGUUCACAGUAAAUGUCGCAGUCAGCAGUGUGAUAAUGAGCAUAUAACUAAUUUUUAUGAUGUUGAAUGAGGGACAAGAGUAAUGGUUUGGAAUCCUUUAUACCUCACUGGGAGGGCGGAGAGGGUUUUGGUUUGACGUCUCCUACCUAUGACAGUGUGGCACCUACUCAGUACUUAGUUAUUAUUUGACUGUGAUUGCAUUCAUUAAUUCAAAGCAAAUUUUUCACCCGGUAACAAAGGAAAAUGAAGUAUGUAGGAUUUGACUGCGAAGAUAUCUUUGAUGAGUACCUUAAACGGAAUCGUCUCAUUGCUAUAAUAUUGUGGAUCGGAAAUUAAUUUGGUGAUGUACAGAGAGUUGCAGAUAUGGAGUUGGAAUCCUGUGAGUGGAAUUAAUGAGACAGCUCUGAUAGUGAGAAACAAAGAAAAAACAAUUUUUCUCAGACCCUACCAAAUUCAGUGGUUGGACCUGAUUAACAUCUUUUCACUCUACUUCCAAGCUAUGAGUUAGCUGCUAGGCUGGUUUCAGGCCAGAGAUGAGAAUGAUUGGGCCCUUCAGCAGAAGGCUGUAAGAGCUGGGAAGGGAGACAGGAAGAAUUAACGGGAAGGAAGGGUGAUUUGAAGUGUGAAAGAGAGAUCAGGUUCGAGUUGCUAGUUGAACAUUGUCCUGGAUGUUCUGACUCUUUAGGAAGUGGAUGGGCUGGAGGAUGUUAGCAGACAAGAUUUAUAUUCGUAACAUUUUAACAUCCCUCCCUCAUAGAUCUACCCACCUUUGGGAGUUUUAAUCUACUCUCAUGCUGGCCACACAUCCAUAUAUCAAACAACUGUAUUGAAUUCUAGUAAUUAAAUGUUAUUUUGUAGGGGAAUUUAUUCUUCUCAGAAAACUCCUGUGUGUUCCAAUUAUCACACAUCAUUUGGCAUCAAGAUGAGAAGCUCAGCUUGUGUAGGGAAGAAGGCAGGGCAGCAGGGAACCAUCCCCAAACCUAUCCCAUAUUUCUUGUGGAAAAGCACUUAGCCUCCGGUUGCUAUUUCCAUAUAACAACGUAAUCUUGAUCAGUGACCACAAGAAUGGGGAGUUCAAAUUUUGUCUCAUCACCCUUCUUCGGGCAUUAUUGAGCCAGUAAGUGCUCCCCAUCCUUAUAUUUUUAAACACUGCAUUCAUAAAACAUUAUCUGUUUUUCAUGACAGCAAUAUCAUUCAGGACUAAAUCUAAAUUGCAAAUGUUUGGAGAAAUUUAUACCUUAAUGUUUAAUGAUAUUAGAUGUGCUGUGUGUCCCACCCACUCAUUUUACUUUGCAACCUCUAGGAUUUGAAAUGUACAGAAUAUAAAUUUCGUAGUGCUGCAUGACAAUAAACUAAUGGUAUUGCUACACUCUGCUGUGAUUAACGUUUUUCUGUUUUAUGUGGAGUAAUUUUUGUAGCCAAAUAAUCAUUACGGUAAAUCAGUCACAAGAAAAUAA